rnacentral:rRNA from 1 species
GACAGAGGGUGCAAACGUUGUUCGGAAUUACUGGGCGUAAAGCGAGUGUAGGCGGUUUGAUAAGUCGGGUGUGAAAGCCCUGGGCUCAACCCAGGAAGUGCACUCGAUACUGUCAGGCUAGAGUAUCGGAGAGGUUGGUGGAAUUCUCGGUGUAGAGGUGAAAUUCGUAGAUAUCGAGAGGAACACCGGUGGCGAAGGCGGCCAACUGGACCAUAACUGACGCUGAGGCACGAAAGCGUGGGUAGCAAACAGG